rnacentral:rRNA from 1 species
AGGACGAACGCUAGCGGCGUGUCUGAAACAUGCAAGUCGAGCGGGCAUCAGCAAUGGUGUCAGCGGCGAACGGGUGCGUAACACGUAAAGAACCUGCCCUUUAGCGGGGGAUAGCCCUGGGAAACCGGGGGUAAUACCGCAUACGGUCAACUUAUCGCAUGAUAAGAUGAGGAAAGGCUAAUGCUGUAAAGUAGUAGUCACUAAAGGAGGGCUUUGCGGCCUAUCAGGUAGUUGGUGAGGUAACGGCUCACCAAGCCAGAGACGGGUAGCUGGU